UACAGAGGGGGCAAGCGUUAUUCGGAAUUAUUGGGCGUAAAGGGCGCGUAGGCGGCCUGGCAAGUGGAAGGUGAAAUCCCUCGGCUUAACCGAGGAACUGCCCCCCAAACUGCUUGGCUUGAGACCGGGAGAGGUGAGUGGAAUUCCCAGUGUAGCGGUGAAAUGCGUAGAUAUUGGGAGGAACACCAGUGGCGAAGGCGGCUCACUGGACCGGUACUGACGCUGAGGCGCGAAAGCGUGGGGAGCAAACGGG
rnacentral:rRNA from 1 species